rnacentral:rRNA from 1 species
UAAGGGCGCACGGUGGAUGCCUUGGCACUAGAAGCCGAUGAAGGACGUUACUAACGACGAUAUGCUUUGGGGAGCUGUAAGUAAGCUUUGAUCCAGAGAUUUCCGAAUGGGGAAACCCAGCAUGAGUUAUGUCAUGUUAUCGAUAUGUGAAUACAUAGCAUAUCAGAAGGCACACCCGGAGAACUGAAACAUCUUAGUACCCGGAGGAAGAGAAAGAAAAUUCGAUUCCCUUAGUAGCGGCGAGCGAAACGGGAAGAGCCCAAACCAACAAGCUUGCUUGUUGGGGUUGUAGGACACUCUAUACGGAGUUACAAAGGACGACAUUAGACGAAUCAUCUGGAAAGAUGAAUCAAAGAAGGUAAUAAUCCUGUAGUCGAAAAUGUUGUCUCUCUUGAGUGGAUCCUGAGUACGACGGAGCACGUGAAAUUCCGUCGGAAUCUGGGAGGACCAUCUCCUAAGGCUAAAUACUCUCUAGUGACCGAUAGUGAACCAGUACCGUGAGGGAAAGGUGAAAAGCACCCCGGAAGGGGAGUGAAAUAGAACCUGAAACCGUGUGCUUACAAGUAGUCAGAGCCCGUUAAUGGGUGAUGGCGUGCCUUUUGUAGAAUGAACCGGCGAGUUACGAUUUGAUGCAAGGUUAAGCAGUAAAUGUGGAGCCGUAGCGAAAGCGAGUCUGAAUAGGGCGUUUAGUAUUUGGUCGUAGACCCGAAACCAGGUGAUCUACCCUUGGUCAGGUUGAAGUUCAGGUAACACUGAAUGGAGGACCGAACCGACUUACGUUGAAAAGUGAGCGGAUGAACUGAGGGUAGCGGAGAAAUUCCAAUCGAACCUGGAGAUAGCUGGUUCUCUCCGAAAUAGCUUUAGGGCUAGCCUCAAGUGAUGAUUAUUGGAGGUAGAGCACUGUUUGGACGAGGGGCCCCUCUCGGGUUACCGAAUUCAGACAAACUCCGAAUGCCAAUUAAUUUAACUUGGGAGUCAGAACAUGGGUGAUAAGGUCCGUGUUCGAAAGGGAAACAGCCCAGACCACCAGCUAAGGUCCCAAAAUAUAUGUUAAGUGGAAAAGGAUGUGGCGUUGCCCAGACAACUAGGAUGUUGGCUUAGAAGCAGCCAUCAUUUAAAGAGUGCGUAAUAGCUCACUAGUCGAGUGACACUGCGCCGAAAAUGUACCGGGGCUAAACAUAUUACCGAAGCUGUGGAUUGUCCUUUGGACAAUGGUAGGAGAGCGUUCUAAGGGCAUUGAAGCAUGAUCGUAAGGACAUGUGGAGCGCUUAGAAGUGAGAAUGCCGGUGUGAGUAGCGAAAGACGGGUGAGAAUCCCGUCCACCGAUUGACUAAGGUUUCCAGAGGAAGGCUCGUCCGCUCUGGGUUAGUCGGGUCCUAAGCUGAGGCCGACAGGCGUAGGCGAUGGAUAACAGGUUGAUAUUCCUGUACCACCUAUAAUCGUUUUAAUCGAUGGGGGGACGCAGUAGGAUAGGCGAAGCGUGCGAUUGGAUUGCACGUCUAAGCAGUAAGGCUGAGUAUUAGGCAAAUCCGGUACUCGUUAAGGCUGAGCUGUGAUGGGGAGAAGACAUUG